CCCGCGGCUGAUUAGCUAGUUGGCGGGGUAAAUGCCCACCAAGGCUAUGACGGGUAGCCGGCCUGAGAGGGUGAACGGCCACACUGGGACUGGGACACGGCCCAGACUCCUACGGGAGGCAGCAGUGGGGAAUCUUCCGCAAUGGGCGCAAGCCUGACCGAGCAACGCCGCGUGAAUGAAGAAGGCCUUCGGGUUGUAAAGUUCUGUCAAUUGGGAAGAAACCUCCAAGGUAAAUAGUCUUGGAGAUGACGGUACCUAAAAAGGAAGCUCCGGCUAACUACGUGCCAGCAGCCGCGGUAAUACGUAGGGAGCAAGCGUUAUCCGGAAUUACUGGGCGUAAAGGGCGUGUAGGCGGGAAUUUAAGUCAUAUGUGUAAACUGCAGGCUUAACCUGGAGAUUGCAUCUGAAACUGGACAACUUGAGUGCAGGAGAGGAAAGUGGAAUUCCUAGUGUAGCGGUGAAAUGCGUAGAUAUUAGGAGGAACACCAGUGGCGAAGGCGGCUUUCUGGACUGUAACUGACGCUGAGGCGCGAAAGCGUGGGGAGCAAACAGGAUUAGAUACCCUGGUAGUCCACGCCGUAAACGAUGAGUACUAGGUGUAGGGGGUAUCGACCCCUUCUGUGCUGCAGUUAACGCAAUAAGUAAUCCGCCUGGGGAGUAUGCACGCAAGUGUGAAACUCAAAGGAAUUGACGGGGGCCCGCACAAGCGGUGGAGUAUGUGGUUUAAUUCGAAGCAACGCGAAGAACCUUACCAAGGCUUGACAUGCAGAGAACCUGGAAACAUGGUCUUGCAAGUUUACUUGCACACGGAGACAGGUGGUGCAUGGUUGUCGUCAGCUCGUGUCGUGAGAUGUUGGGUUAAGUCCCGCAACGAGCGCAACCCCUACAGCUAGUUGCCAGCACAUAAAGGGGGACUCUAGCAGAACUGCCGUUGACAAAACGGAGGAAGGUGGGGAUGACGUCAAAUCAUCAUGCCCCUUAUGACUUGGGCUACACACGUACUACAAUGGCGUAUACAGAGAGACGCGAAGUGGCGACAUGGAGCAAACCUCACAAAGUACGUCUCAGUUCAGAUUGAAGUCUGCAACUCGACUUCAUGAAGGCGGAAUCGCUAGUAAUCGCGGAUCAGCAUGCCGCGGUGAAUACGUUCUCGGGCCUUGUACACACCGCCCGUCAAACCACGAAAGUCGGCAACACCCGAAGCCGGUGACUCAACCCGAAAGGGAGAGAGCCGUCGAAGGUGGGGUUGGUAAUUGGGGUGAAGUCGUAACAAGGUAACCA
rnacentral:rRNA from 1 species